rnacentral:rRNA from 1 species
GACGAACGCUGGCGGCGUGCUUAACACAUGCAAGUCGAACGGAAAGGCCCUGCUUUUGUGGGGUGCUCGAGUGGCGAACGGGUGAGUAACACGUGAGUAACCUGCCCUUGACUUUGGGAUAACUUCAGGAAACUGGGGCUAAUACCGGAUAGGAGCUCCUGCUGCAUGGUGGGGGUUGGAAAGUUUCGGCGGUUGGGGAUGGACUCGCGGCUUAUCAGCUUGUUGGUGGGGUAGUGGCUUACCAAGGCUUUGACGGGUAGCCGGCCUGAGAGGGUGACCGGACACAUUGGGACUGAGAUACGGCCCAGACUACUCCGGGAGGCAGCAGUGCGGAAUAUUGCACUAUGGGCGGAAGCCUGAUGUAGCAAAGCCGCGUGGGGGAUGACGGCCAUCGGGUUGUAAACCGCUUUCGCCUGUGACGAAGCGUGAGUGACGGUAAUGGGUAAAGAAGCACCGGCUAACUACGUG